rnacentral:piRNA from 1 species
UGAAUAUGGUAAACACGAUUUCCUCCUCAUU